GCUGAACAAUGAGAUACAAACCUCCAGCAAGGAGGGUACGGAAACCGACGAAGGAGGGGUAGCCGGGCGGUUGGCCGUCACCGCUCUUUUACACAGGUUCCAAGAGGUGCUGCGACGUUACAUCGAGGACGAGAGACGCAGCGGUAAAUGCCCUCUGCCAAGAUACAGAUUGUCGGAAAUAUCAUUCGUAUUGAAAGCGGUAGCUACCCUGGUGGUGUCCUUGAAAAAGGCUCCCCCUAACAAAGGUAAGCAUUCGGUCUAUGAUACAAAUAUACAUUGCAUGUAUGUAUGCGCGUCUGGCUCGUUGAAUUGAAAACCCAAGUCAAAGUGGCAUUUUUAUUUAUUUUUUUCACCUAG
rnacentral:misc_RNA from 1 species